AUACGGAGGGUGCAAGCGUUAUUCGGAAUCACUGGGCGUAAAGGACGCGUAGGCGGGUUGGCAAGUCAGAUGUGAAAUCCUACAGCUUAACUGUAGAACUGCAUUUGAAACUUCUAAUCUAGAGUAUGGGAGGGGGAGAUGGAAUUAGUGGUGUAGGGGUAAAAUCCGUAGAUAUCACUAGGAAUACCGAAAGCGAAGGCGAUCUCCUGGAACAUAACUGACGCUAAGGCGUGAAAGCGUGGGGAGCAAACGGGAUUAGAAACCCUUGUAGUCC
rnacentral:rRNA from 1 species